CGGGGGGGGGGGCAAGCGUUGUUCGGAAUUACUGGGCGUAAAGGGCGUGUAGGCGGUCCUGCAAGUCUUUCGUGAAAUCCCACAGCUCAACUGUGGAACUGCGAGGGAAACUGCAGGACUUGAGUCCGGGAGAGGAGAGUGGAAUUCCCAGUGUAGCGGUGAAAUGCGUAGAUAUUGGGAGGAACACCGGUGGCGAAGGCGGCUCUCUGGACCGGUACUGACGCUGAGGCGCGAAAGCUAGGGGAGCAAACGGGAUUAGAUACCCCGGUAGUCCUAGCCUUAAACGAUGAGCACUUGGUGUGGCGGGUAUCGACCCCUGCCGUGCCGAAGCUAACGCAUUAAGUGCUCCGCCUGGGGAGUACGGUCGCAAAGGCUG
rnacentral:rRNA from 1 species